GCCGAUGAAGGUUAUCUACAUUUGACGACCACUGAGGUGGCCAAGAGAGAUAGAUAACGCCCUUCAGCGCAUAAAAUUUUCGGUGAAAUGAAAAUGCGGGCACCUGACAUUUAAUAUUUUUCUGGUUUAGAAUUCUUAGGCAGGAGAUUGAUUAAGAGAACAAUAAUAAGGGUGCUUACAUAGGCAGAAGUGGCUUCCUAAGGAGGGAUGCCUAGGUUUUGAUCAUGUGGAUGAAUUGGCAUCUCCGCCGUUGCUUCAGUUUCAACGGCAAGACCCUUUCCAUGAUCGGCCACAGAGGGAUCAACCUGGCCGAUCAUUUCGACCGCAAAAAGAGGAUUGGUUGGUCAAGGACAACUUUCCAACGGAAUUUUGUCACUCUCGUCAUCCUGGAAUAAAGUUUGUUAGAAAUUCUAACAUUAAUUGAAAAAGAAAAUUACCAACCGCACAAUUAUACCUCCACGAUGAUCGCUGAUUGUCUUGGAAUCUUUGAGGGUGUUUUCUUUGCCACCGAAGUCAUUUUCUCCAAGAUAGAGGCAACGAUUGGCUC
rnacentral:lncRNA from 1 species